GUGGCUGGAGCUCAGUGGUAGAGGGCUUGCCUAUCAUGUAUGAGGCACUGGGUUCGAUCUGCAGCACCACA
rnacentral:tRNA from 1 species